UGAGGUCGAUAAAUAUUUGGAAGAGGAACUUGAGCGACCAACUGAGAAUUUUGAUGUUUUGGGAUGGUGGGCUAGUAGUGGGUGCAAGUACAAGAUCUUGUCACUCAUGGCUCGUGAUGUGUUAGCUAUACCAGUUACCACCGUUGCUUCUGAGGCGGCAUUUUCUAUAGGAGGUCGAAUUUUAGAUCCUUUUAGAAGCUCACUAAGCCCAAGGAUGGUCGAAGCAUUAAUUUGUCUCAAUAACUGGUGGAGCGGAUCACAUCAACCCAUCAUAACUCGAGAAUAUAUGGAAGAAGAAGAAGCGCUUCAAACAUCAGAGUAUCUUGAGUCAGAGAUGACCAAUGAUCCUACAAGUGCUGGGCCUGGGCCAGCUUCAUCCUCCGUCAAUUUUCAGUCUUCAGCCUCAUCUGCAUCUGCUGCACAACAAUCUACAAAUUAAAAGAAUUGCAAUUGCUUGAAUGAAGGAAAGGAAAGAAGGAAAGGGCAUGGACUUUUGCUGGUCAUGUAUUUUGAACUUUUAUAGACUUAAUUUAAUGUUUAUGGUUGUAGACGACUUAUGGACUUUAUUUUGGUUUUGUGGUUAACUAGUUAUGUACUUAAAGUUUAUG